rnacentral:lncRNA from 1 species
GGGUGAACAAUGAAAUAAAAGGCGUCCGGGUAUUGUUUCCGUCAUCUGACCGACUUUUAAGUCAUAAACAAGACUUUUUUAAAGACUGGUUUUAAACUUUUAAACAUAAUUUUCAUGAUUACUGGGGGACAGGACAACUAUGUUCGCGUUAUUCUGCAUGUAUAAUAUGAUUAUACUCCUAUAUUAUAUAGAGACUGUUUAUAAUAUAGCAGUAAUCGCCAUGGAGAAGCAAUUAGAAUUGGUAGUUAAUAGUAAAUUCACUUUAUUUAUAACAUAACGAUUUUCAUAGGCAUAGUAUACAGAAACGCUAAAAUCC